AAAAAAGAGUUUGUUCUUACCAAGUGAGUAAUAAAGUCAAACAAGUGGAUGCGGUUUCAAAUUUGUGUACGUUGGCUGUUCCUACAAAAACACUGAACAAACAAAGCUGCUGCUGCUGCUGCUAGGGUUUAUCCCUCCUUUUUCAAUAUUCACCACAUCGCCUUCAGGUUAUUGAUUCGUUUUUUCAGCGGAAACAAUGACUCGCGUGUAUAUUGGAAAUCUGGAUUCACGAGUUUCUGAGAGGGAUCUGGAAGAUGAUUUUCAUGUUUUUGGAGUUAUACGAAGUGUGUGGGUUGCAAGGAGGCCUCCUGGUUAUGCUUUCAUUGAUUUUGAUGACCGCAGAGACGCGCUGGAUGCUAUCCGCGAAUUAGAUGGUAAAAAUGGUUGGAGGGUAGAGCUUUCUCACAACUCUAAAACUGGAGGUGGAGGAGGAGGAAGAGGUGGUGGCGGUGGUGGUCGUGGUCGGUCAGGUGGGGGUGGUUCUGAUUUGAAAUGUUAUGAGUGUGGUGAACCUGGUCAUUUUGCCCGGGAGUGUCAUUCUUCUCGUGGUGGUGGUGGUGGAAGGCGUCGGAGCCGCAGUCCACCUCGAUUGCGUAGGAGCCCGAGUUAUGGGCGAAGGAGUUACAGUCCUCGUGAGCGGUCCCCUAGGCGGCGAAGCCCAUCUCCUCGUCGUCGCAGCCCUUCACCUCGUCGCCGAAGCUACAGCAGGUCACCCCCUCCUUACCGUGGACGUGAGGCCGUAGCACAUGCUAACGGAAAUGGGUUAAGGGAUGCACCUCGAAGCAGAAGUUGAUUUUUAAAAGUCGGUAACUGCGACUGUUCAGAAGAUACCGAGAUAUUGUUAAUCUAGUGUUUUCAACUGCAGUACACAUCUGUUUUGUUGGGCAGUGCCCUGAGCUUCUACCCUAAAUGGUUUAGUUACUUUCUUGAUUUACUGACUUGUGUUAUGUUAUCUACACCGAAUUCUUCAAGUUUUGUUGCAGGUGUCUUCUGGUACCACCGCCUUGGUUUUGUGCUUCUACGUUCACUGGGAUAUAUCCUCCCUAGCUGCCCUGUGUGUGAUUUUGAAUGAUUGUUAUUCCAGCCAGGCUGCUACAAAGCUUUAUGUUUCUUGAAUCUCGCUACUCGUUCAUGUCUCAAACUCUAACAGCAUGUUUUUUAAUUAAAUUAUAAGUGAUUGAUUACAUCAAAUAUGUAUUUUACAAAAGUUGGGCUUAUAGGUUUUACCCCUACCUGUGUUGUGAAUCUUAUGAUAAUGAAGAUAGAAAAAUUGAUAGAGCACCAGAAAUCCCAAUACAGCAAUAUACAUCUUGUCA